CUGAGUCAUCAGCUGUGCAAUAACCCUUCAAAUCCAACAGAUGUCCCUAUGUAAUCACGCUUGCCCUUGACUGAGGCUGGAGGCAUAGUACGACUGAGGUGAAGGCAGUAGAGUAAAAUACUGAAUUACCCUCUGGUACUCCUGCUGUCUGGCGAUGUGCAUCAUCUGAUCUAUGAGGUGCUUGAGGUUGCUCUCCAGAAUCUCCAAGUUGUCUUUGGUGUUUUCAGUGCUGGGGUCAGUCGAGUGCUCUCCCAUCUGAACAUCCAAAUGUAGCUUCUGAGCAACAAAAUAGAGGUCAUAGGUCUCACCAGCUUCUCUCCGGCAAACACAGCAAACCUUGUGGAGUUGGUUUGGAAGCAAAGGUAGUGCUGACCAGAGGCGUGAGCUGUAAAGUUUGGUGUGAAUGGGGAAACCAGCCACAACAUGUUUUUGAGUACCAUCAUACACGUGUGUGUGUGGCCCUGGCCUGGUGAUAUACCUCUCCUUUGAGUGCAGUACCUCAUAGUCUGGAUCUUUGACUGUCACAGUCACACCGAGGUGAGGGGAGUGAGUGAGUGUCUUCAAAUCCCAGGGCUCCAACAAGAAAUAACCUGAAGGACUCACCAGUAACCAGCGUGUCAACAGGAAUCUCCUCAAUGAUACAUUUUUCCUCCUGCUCUCCGAGAUCAAAAUACAUGGCUGCUGCCAACAUCAGGUAGCACUGGAGGAGAAAGCCAGUGCCUCGCAAACUCAUUUUCAGUUAACAAUGGGCUAUUAAAUUACAAUACGCUUGACAGUGACCAGAUAUUUGUUCUGUAGUUCCAAAUGGCUUUUUUGUAAUUCUAACUCAAGAUUGAGGUAUUUUUCAUCAGCUGUAGCCAAAGACUCAUGUUCUAGUAGCAUAUACCGAAAGUGGAGGGAGACGGUGUGAGAAACUCGCAGGUGCUGCUUUGUGGCUUUGUGUGACGAGACAUUCUGGUCAUGACUGGUGACUGGUUAACCUGGGAGCCAGUUGCAAGGCUGCUGAGAACAUUGAAUAAGUGGGAGUGACCAUUUGCCCACUGAUGAACUGAUAAUCCCACAGUGUGCAUACCAACAUGGAAGGAGUUGCACCGUGACCUUUCAAAAUGCGUACCUGGCACAUGCUAUAUUUCUGAUGCCAUUGUGCAGAAAAUAUCUCCCUGUCAGUAUAAUACAGUAAGACCUUUGGGGCCUGCUCUACGUUCAGCCAAUAUCUCCAAAACUCUACAGCUCACACCAAAGCAAUCUGGAUGGGCUAAAUAGGACAACGGAUAAGAGGGAGAAAAAUGUAUUUUUGAUUUUGGGGUGAACUUUGCCUCUAAGCAGUAGGGAUUAGCAGUGUCACCAUGUCUGUGACUACAGUGUGCAACAAAGUCCAAAUCUUUGGAAACUGAGGGGCAGUUGUAAUCAAAACAGUAGUGGCCAUUUGCUUACCCCGUAUGAGGUCAUUAUAAAGUAAAGCCCCACACACUGGAUGAACCCUUCUCAUAUUUAACAUCUGCAAAAGUUGUUAUUCCUCAGAGUAAGCAAAGAGUCAGAUUUCCCACACUUCAGUAGCUUUAGAGAAAGUGCAAAUACUAAAUCAGUAAGUGUAAUAGUCCUGCCAUUAAAAUAGAUUUGGUUUUAAACUCCAAUUGAUUUGUACCGUGUCUGCAAAAGUGUGUCUCACUCUGUAUUGUUGCAAGAUAUGUAAUAUCUUGUAGUAAUACAAACAAUCUGCAAUUCACCAUGAACCACAUAAUUCAUAAUUCAGUCUCUCAGUCAGUUCAUACAUUUCUUUCUGCCAUUUUAACACUUUCCUGCUGCAAGAGAUUGAUCUUGUUGUUUGUUUGAAAUUAUAACAUCAUUGCAGGGGCACCAUAUAUGAUAAUUUUCACAGUUUUUAUCUAUGAGCUAACCUGAACUAGUUCCUAUGUACCCCAUAAUGCGUUGUU